GAUGAACGCUGGCGGCGUGCCUAAUACAUGCAAGUCGAGCGAACGGACGAGAAGCUUGCUUCUCUGAUGUUAGCGGCGGACGGGUGAGUAACACGUGGAUAACCUACCUAUAAGACUGGGAUAACUUCGGGAAACCGGAGCUAAUACCGGAUAAUAUUUUGAACCGCAUGGUUCAAAAGUGAAAGACGGUCUUGCUGUCACUUAUAGAUGGAUCCGCGCUGCAUUAGCUAGUUGGUAAGGUAACGGCUUACCAAGGCAACGAUGCAUAGCCGACCUGAGAGGGUGAUCGGCCACACUGGAACUGAGACACGGUCCAGACUCCUACGGGAGGCAGCAGUAGGGAAUCUUCCGCAAUGGGCGAAAGCCUGACGGAGCAACGCCGCGUGAGUGAUGAAGGUCUUCGGAUCGUAAAACUCUGUUAUUAGGGAAGAACAUAUGUGUAAGUAACUGUGCACAUCUUGACGGUACCUAAUCAGAAAGCCACGGCUAACUACGUGCCAGCAGCCGCGGUAAUACGUAGGUGGCAAGCGUUAUCCGGAAUUAUUGGGCGUAAAGCGCGCGUAGGCGGUUUUUUAAGUCUGAUGUGAAAGCCCACGGCUCAACCGUGGAGGGUCAUUGGAAACUGGAAAACUUGAGUGCAGAAGAGGAAAGUGGAAUUCCAUGUGUAGCGGUGAAAUGCGCAGAGAUAUGGAGGAACACCAGUGGCGAAGGCGACUUUCUGGUCUGUAACUGACGCUGAUGUGCGAAAGCGUGGGGAUCAAACAGGAUUAGAUACCCUGGUAGUCCACGCCGUAAACGAUGAGUG
rnacentral:rRNA from 1 species